rnacentral:lncRNA from 1 species
GUUUGUCAUCAUCCUGUUUUUCUCGUUGCUGCUGAUCUGCAGCUCUCCGCCUGUCUGCUGUUCUCACACUAACUUAUCUCCUUGUGUGGCAUGCUGCUGUUUUAUUGCUGUGUGUUGGCCCUCUGCUGUCUCUGGCUCCAUGUGGGCUCCGCAGAUUAUGAAAUAUGUGUCCGAGGGAUGAUUAAGGGUUUACCACCAGGCCCUAAAGGAAUGCCUGGGCCGACAGGGCCUGCUGGUCCAUUAGGACCUGUUGGUUCAACAGGGCCUCCUGGUCCUCCGGGGCGACCAGGAAAUGUGGGCGAACCGGGCAAAAGUGGAGCAACUGGCCCCAUGGGUCCCACGGGGUUCCCUGGUGGACCGGGUAUGAAGGGGGAAGCAGGUACACCAGGAGUUCCUGGGCUGCCUUGCAAAGACGGAUUACCAGGACAGCAGGGCACUACUGGAGCUCCAGGCCAGCCUGGUUUAAAGGGGGGGCAGGGAGACAGUGGUCCUCCAGGAAAGGUGAGAUGUGCUGUAUUUCCUGCACCGCCUCUGCUGAAAAGCUUUAUCGCUUACAUUGUUGCAUGUACGCUCAGC